rnacentral:snoRNA from 1 species
AACGAAGGAGAUGAUGUCUUUCUAUGUGAAUAUGAGUAUGAUAUACGCUGGCGUAGUUUCAAGCGCAUCGCAGAGAUU